GCCUUCGAAGUGCAAUGGUCAGCACACUUGGCGCGUGUUCGAGAGGUACGUGGUUCGAGUCCCGCCGAGGGCG
rnacentral:tRNA from 1 species